rnacentral:lncRNA from 1 species
CUAGGAGUCACCCGGAGCCGCAGGACUGACCUCCCGCGCUGGGAAGAGCCCGCAGCGGCGCUGGAAGCGCGCCACGAGCUGUGAAUCCCGCAGGCUCCGCAGCAGUUCGGCCAUGGUGAGCCGUGACCCCGUUCCUCCGACCCGCAGCCACGCGCGUCCGUGUCCUCAGCGUGCGCCCUGGCCUCGCGUUCCGCAGCCCGAUGCUCCCAGCGCAGGACGGGCGGGGCGCGGUGCCAGCCAACAGGUGCGCCACCCGGGUCCUAGCGCCCGCCCUACACGCG